rnacentral:rRNA from 1 species
UCUGGUGAUUAUCCCGGAGGGGUACCACCCGUUCCCACCUCGAACACAGAAGUUAAAACCUUCUGGGGCGACAUACCAAUUGGGAAAAUAACACAUCGCCAGGU